CCAGGCUUGCCUAAGUCUACGGCUGUUCAUUGUGUUAAUAACCCAAAAUUGGGUGGUGUGGCAAACGUGAAAACGCUACAUCUGAUAUUGGUACACAAGUUACUGGGAGCUUGGAUUUAUAUAUAUAUAUUUGUUAUAAAAGUGAAAAAGAAGGCUCAGGUAUAAGCUUCGGCCAUGAUUAACAGCACAAGUGAUGUCCAACCAGUAAACAGGCGUGCACCCUUUCCUUUACCUUUCUUCUGAUCAUACUGUUCCCAUAAAAAUCCAGUUUGGUGAUAAUUCUGAACCACAUU
rnacentral:misc_RNA from 1 species